UGUUUGGAAUUUGGUGGUUUCUUCAAUUUCAUCACCACCCAUUCUCACAACUUCAUCUAAAGUGUUUUGCAUGUACAAGAUUCGUGUUCAUGGAGGUCAUUUCAAACAGAUUUCAAGCUGAGCUGCAGAAAUUUGAUUCAAAUUGGUGGAUUUGGUUACUCAUGAAACAGUUGUUCCUGCCGCAACGCACAUGCGUAUUUUCUAAUUGAGACUAUUAGUCAAGACUCAAAAGUUGGAUCUUACUUCGUUGACCGGUAUGCAACUAUGAAUUUUUUUAGAUGCUAGCAAUCUACGAAUUUUUCUAGACGCUAGAAAAUAUUAAAGUCCCAAUUAAGA